rnacentral:rRNA from 1 species
AUUGACCGCUGGCGGCAGGCCUAACACAUGCAAGUCGAGCGAGCGGCGGACGGGUGAGUAAUGUAUGGGGACUGCCCGAUAGAGAGGGAUAACUACUGUAAAUGGUAGCUAAUACCGCAUACUAUCGGAUAACCCAUAUGGGAUUAGCUAGUAGGUGAGGUAAUGGCUCACCUAGGCGACGAUCCCUAGCUGGUCUGAGAGGAUGAUCAGCCAGACUGGGACUGAGACACAGCCCAGACUCCUACGGCGGCAGCAGUGGGGAAUAUUGAAAAAGGGGGGUGAGCCUGAUACAGCCAUGCCGCGUGUAUGAAGAGGGCCAUAGGGUUGUAAAGUACUAUCAGUCGGGGAGCGUUACCAAAAGAAGAAGCACCGGCUAACUCAGAGCCAGCAGCCGCGGUAAUUC